rnacentral:rRNA from 1 species
AUACGUAGGUGGCAAGCGUUGUCCGGAAUUAUUGGGCGUAAAGCGCGCGCAGGUGGUUCCUUAAGUCUGAUGUGAAAGCCCACGGCUCAACCGGGGAGGGUCAUUGGAAACUGGGGAACUUGAGUGCAGAGGAGGAUAGUGGAAUUCCAAGUGUAGCGGUGAAAUGCGUAGAGAUUUGGAGGAACACCAGUGGCGAAGGCGACUGUCUGGUCUGUAACUGACACUGAGGCGCGAAAGCGUGGGGAGCAAACAGGAUUAGAUUCCCUGGUAGUCCACGCCGUAAACGAUGAGUGCUAAGUGUUGGGGGGUUUCCGCCCCUCAGUGCUGCAGCUAACGCAUUAAGCACUCCGCCUGGGGAGUACGGUCGCAAGACUGAAACUCAAAUGAAUUGACGGGG